AGCAGUAGCCGCGGUAAUACAGAGGGUGCGAGCGUUAAUCGGAUUUACUGGGCGUAAAGCGUGCGUAGGCGGCUUUUUAAGUCGGAUGUGAAAUCCCUGAGCUUAACUUAGGAAUUGCAUUCGAUACUGGGAAGCUAGAGUAUGGGAGAGGAUGGUAGAAUUCCAGGUGUAGCGGUGAAAUCCGUAGAGAUCUGGAGGAAUACCGAUGGCGAAGGCAGCCAUCUGGCCUAAUACUGACGCUGAGGUACGAAAGCAUGGGGAGCAAACAGGAUUAGAUACCCCAGUAGUCCCUGUCUCUUAUAC
rnacentral:rRNA from 1 species